UAGAGGCAUUCCUGAUGUUUU
rnacentral:piRNA from 1 species